rnacentral:miRNA from 1 species
CUUCCAGCCGGCGAGGUACUUGUACCUCGUCGACUGGAAGGGUGUCCUUCCAGCCGGCGAGGUACUUGUACCUCGUCGACUGGAAG